ACUCCUUUCUACUGGAAACAACUUUCUACUCUACUCCUCCACAUGCUGAAUUCUGCUAUCUCUGCUUCUCGUCUUCAUCCUUCUCUUAAUUCAUCCUUGUUAACUUUACUCCUUAAACAAGCUACAGGUGGUGAUUUCUAAAUUGAUUCAUCCUGGCCAAACCAGCUCCAUUAAGUCCUGCCAUGAUGGUCACAGCAUACGCCACCUACUGCAUAUCCCGUUUGAAGUUCUGGUUCCACGUUUUCCAUUUCUCUCCAUGAACGCAGUGCCAAAUCUGGAUCAACUGCUUUCCAUCACCUGGUUCCUGUUUCCCGCCUUUCCACUCAUGGACUAUAAAAGAACCCCCACAAAUCCAUUGGACAACUUCUGCUCCAGCUUUUGCAAUUUUUUUUUUUGUCUUGGCUUGUGAUUAUUGUAUUUGACUGCCUGUUAUGAUCUGUGUUGGUUUUCGGUACACUCUCGUUUAGGUUUCGAUUUGGAUUUGGUUGUUAUGCUCUUGUAUUUACACUGACAUUUACAGCAUUUAGCAGAUGCUCUUUUCCAGACAUUUUGCGACAUUUUGUCUCUGUUUGUGAUUAGAAAGGAUUAGGUUAGCAUAUGUAUUUUGUUUUCUUUUGGGUUAGGGAAGUUUUCAUUGGUACACGUGUAGGUAGUUCACUGGGUAUUGUUUAUUGUGUUGGCCAUUGUCACUCCCGAAGAGUGCCACAUCCUGGUGUUCGCUUAUCCCACAUUUCCCAAAUAUAUAUACACAUUGAUCUCUGUUAAUAUCAUCACUUUGGGUGUUGAUUAUUUCCCGACCUCCAUAUCCUCUA